rnacentral:rRNA from 1 species
UACGGGGGAUGCAAGCGUUAUCCGGAAUCAUUGGGCGUAAAGCGCCUGUAGGUUGUUUAAUAAGUCUGUUGUUAAAGACUAGGGCUCAACCCUAGAAAAGCAAUGGAAACUACUAGACUAGAGUAUGGCAGGGGUAGAGGGAAUUUCUAGUGUAGCGGUGAAAUGCGUAGAUAUUAGAAAGAACACCGGUGGCGAAAGCGCUCUACUGGACCAUUACUGACACUCAGAGGCGAAAGCUAGGGUAGCAAAA